CUCUGAGAAAUGGAUAUAUUAAUGUGACUAGUCUGCAUACCAAUAAGCCACUUCUUCCUAGAAAAUUUUCGUAAUUGAAAUAAAAUAGUCAUAAAAAUACAAUCAGAAUGAGUGUUUGAACAUAAUCUCUGUAUGAUAUUCAUAUUAUGUGAGAGUAUGACACAAAUGAAAUAUAUAUAGCAACUUCCAUACUUCAUAAUAAGUAAUGUGAACAAUGGGAACAUUAGCACUAGAAAAUAAUAGAUAACAAUGAAAUAGUCCUGGAAUAAACUACAUUAAUAUACUCACAGUAAACACCAAACAAGUUGAAGUCUCAGUUUCUAUUAGAUUCUAUAUAUUAAAGUGACACUUGAUUACACAUCAAAAAGCACAUGUUCUCUCACUUGUAUUCCUCCAACAAGCAUCUCCAAUGAAGGAUUCAUUAUUAAAUUCUUGAUUGUUACCCCAUGAGCAGGGGUGACUAGCUGAAUGCCACGUUAUGCAAUUGUGCUUGCAGCCACUACUUCAAGUUUUGUGUCAAUUUCAUCAAUUACAAUAACUUAUGGCAUAUGGUUUUCAACUGCUUCAAUAAGUACCUAGACAUAAAUCCUUUAAUCAAAGGACAAAAUAUAACAUAAAUAAGAUGGAGAAAAGAUAAUUAUACUACUUUAGCAUCAAUCAUGUUUUAAUUUGAUUGGGGGCAAUGCCUUGGGCCACUAUCGAGGGUUAAAUAAAAAUGUGAAGAAAACUACACAUAGUCAUUGCAGCUUGACCAAUGGUUUGUUUCAUAGUUAAUGCUUUCAUACUUCUUUUUUAUGUGAGUUUGCAAUAAGUCUUAUGAUUUCUUUUGUUGCCUUCAUUCUUUUGAUUGAAUUGAAGCAUAUAUCUAUGGAAUUGAGUAAUUCCUGUGUAUCAUAAUAUUUCUAUAGUUUCAGUGAUUUUAUGGUGCAGGUAAGGUAUCUAGAACACAUGGUGCUAUUUUGAUCAAAAAAUUGAAGAGGUAUUGGAUCCAAAGCUACAAUCUUGAAAUCAACUCCUUGUUGUCCAGUCAACCAAGCAAAUCCUAGUAUAAGGCCAAAGUGGGUAGGUGGAGGCAGAGGGUGUAGAGCGAUAAAUCAAGAUAAGAACGCUAAGCUUUUUGGUGCUGGCAUUGGUGGCCGGGGACACACAGAUUUGGAUGCAGCAGUGAGAGAAGUGGCUGCUAUUCCUGAUGAGUUGGCAAUAGAGAGAAAUUCAGAAAAAUGGCUGCUAUUGAAGAGGAAGGAAGCACAAGUCCACUUCCUUAAAGGUUGAAGGAAAGUGAUGGAAAUCCUAGGGUCAGUCAUAUGAGACAGUCUUUGAGCGUCCAGGUUUACACCAGUUCUUAAAACAGAUUGGUGAAUUUGUUGAUAUUGUUCUAUUCAUUGCCGGUCUUGAAGGUUAGAAAUUUCCUGGGUCAGAAAUUUCCUGGAGAGAUGCAAAAUAUGGUCAAAGAGUUCAAGAACUUAGUUUUUUCAAGUUUUUUUUUUCAUUUUUUAAUAUAUGUAAUCAUAGUUAAAAACUUUUUAUUAAUUUCUUUGUAUAUACUUUUGAACAUUUAACUUUCAUUCAUGAAGUAUAUGACGUUAUUCAAUAUAUGGUUGUGAUUCAAAAUA